AUGAACGCUGGCGGCGUGCCUAAUACAUGCAAGUCGCGCGAACAGACGAGGAGCUUGCUCCUCUGACGUUAGCGGCGGACGGGUGAGUAACACGUGGAUAACCUACCUAUAAGACUGGGAUAACUUCGGGAAACCGGAGCUAAUACCGGAUAAUAUAUUGAACCGCAUGGUUCAAUAGUGAAAGACGGUUUUGCUGUCACUUAUAGAUGGAUCCGCGCCGCAUUAGCUAGUUGGUAAGGUAACGGCUUACCAAGGCAACGAUGCGUAGCCGACCUGAGAGGUGGUUCGGCCCACCUGGACCCGAGCCCCGUCCCCACCCCCCACGGGGGGCAGCAGUGGGGAUUCUUCCGCAAUGGGCGAAACCCUGCCGGAGCACCCCCGCGGGAGUGAUAAAGGUUUUCGGUUCGUAAACCUUUUUUUUUGGGGAAGAACAAAUUUGUAAGUAACUAUGCACGUUUUGACGGUACCUAAUCAAAAAGCCCCGGCUACCUCCGU
rnacentral:rRNA from 1 species